CUUCUGGGGUAGUAUUAUUAGAUGGAACCAACCCCUUCGGGGUGAUGUGGUGAUUCAUAAUAAGUUUGCGGAUCGCCGGUGGCGAUGGAUCAUUCAAGUUUCUGCCCUAUCACCUUUGGACGGUAAGGUAUUGGCUUACCGUGGCUUUAACGGGUAACGGGGAAUUAGGGUUCGAUUCCUGAGAGGGGGCCUGAGAGAUGGCCACCACAUCCAAGGAAGGCAGCAGGCGCGUAAAUUACCCAAUCUUGACACAAGGAGGUAGUGACAAUAAAUAACAAUGCCGGGCCUUAUGGGUCUGGCAUUGGAAUGAUAACAAUUUAACCCCUUAUCCAGGAUAAUUGGAGGGAAGUCUGGUGCCGCGGCCGCGGUAAUCCCGCUCCAUAGCUAAAAUAAAAAAUUAAAA
rnacentral:rRNA from 1 species